rnacentral:ncRNA from 22 species
GAAGCUUUCGGAGAUGGCAUUCCUCCCGUAACCGCCCUGCAUUCCCGCAGAGCUGAUGAUGCCUACGAGUUC